rfam:Trichobilharzia regenti genome assembly, scaffold: TRE_scaffold0013315
AUCCAGCUGACGAGUCUCAAAUAGGUCGAAAUGGGCAUCAUGGAU